AAGUCGUAACAAGGUCUCCGUUGGUGAACCAGCGGAGGGAUCAUUACUGAGUUAUAACAAACUCCAAACCCAUGUGAACUUACCGCUCUGUUGCCUCGGCAGGUCGCGAUGCCCUGUAGCCCCUACCUGGAAAGACCUACCCUGUAGGACUUACCUGGAAGGAGCUACCGGGCAACGUGCUAAAAGGCCUGCCGAAGGUCUAAACAAACUCUUGAUAAACUAUACGCAACUCUGAAAUUAUAAAGUAAAUAAUCAAAACUUUCAACAACGGAUCUCUUGGUUCUG
rnacentral:misc_RNA from 1 species